GACGAACGCUGGCGGCGUGCUUAACACAUGCAAGUCGAACGAUGAAGAAGAGAAACGCGAACUUCGGUUCAAAUUUCACUUCGGAUUAGUGGCAGACGGGUGAGUAACGCGUGAGCAACCUACCUCUUACAAAGGGAUAGCCUCGGGAAACCGUGAUUAAUACCAUAUGACACAUUCAUAAGGCAUCUUAAGAAUGUUAAAGCUACGGCGGUAAGAGAUGGGCUCGCGUCCCAUUAGCUAGUUGGUGAGGUAACGGCCCACCAAGGCGACGAUGGGUAACCGGCCUGAGAGGGUGAACGGUCACAUUGGAACUGAGACACGGUCCAAACUCCUACGGGAGGCAGCAGUGGGGAAUAUUGCACAAUGGAGGGAACUCUGAUGCAGCGACGCCACGUGAGCGAUGAAGGAAUUCGUUUCGUAAAGCUCUGUUCUAUGGGAAGAAAAGGACUGUACCAUAGGAGAAAGCCCCGGCUAAAUACGUG
rnacentral:rRNA from 1 species